rnacentral:rRNA from 1 species
UUAUUAAUUUUAUUAAUGGGUAUAGCACUGAACAUCUAAUUCAAUAGAAAGGAGUCUGAAAGGAUUUACUUUGGAUGUUUAAUCUCAGAAUAAUUAAUAAUAAUUUAUAUAAGUUAUCGGACUACUUGCGAUAAGGUGA